rnacentral:rRNA from 1 species
GGACUACCGGGGUUUCUAAUCCCGUUUGCUCCCCUGGCUUUCGCGCCUCAGCGUCAGAAGAGGUCCAGCCCGCCGCUUUCGCCACCGGCGUUCCUUCUGAUAUCAACGCAUUUCACCGCUCCACCAGAAGUUCCGCAGGCCCCUACCUCCCUCGAGACCAGCAGUAUCCAAGGCACUUUUCCGGUUAAGCCGAAAGAUUUCACCCCGGACUUGCUGACCCGCCUACGCGCCCUUUAAGCCCAGUGAUUCCGAACAACGUUUGCACGGUUCGUCUUACCGCGGCUGCUGGCAC